rnacentral:lncRNA from 1 species
UAUUGGAUUAACAAGAAUUAUCUUACUUUAAAUUUCUUGCUUUAAAAAAAAAAAAGAAUUAUCUUACUUCAUGUAUGGUAUGCCAACUGUUCGAUAAAGGUCCUUUUAGAAAUCUUCUAUUGAUUACCUUGCGAAGACCACAAAACUAGACACACCCAAAAGCAUUCUUGCAUAGUUUAUACAUAGAGAUGGCCGAUUGAUGAUCGUCUUAUUUGUAGACUUAACGCGAGCAGACUCGAUCGCUUAGUCCUUAUUGAUUUACGACACACAUGCUCACACACACACAUACACACAUCACAAAAUCACACAAAUUGACGGAUAAUGUUGCCGUUCAGCUCCUUCCUGAACCUCACCGCGGCAUUUUUCUGCACCAUAGUGGCCGUGAAAUACCACGAGACGAUGUCAUGGACGGCGACGUGUUGUCCGGUGGCGGCGGAUAGCCCGACCUGAACCUGCUGAGGAACAAAGUCGCUCAAAUCGUACUCAUAGUUGACAUCAAAUGUCUGCGAGCCGGCGGUGACUUUCACGGAGAUCAUCCUUGUGGCUCCGACGUAGUUGAUCCGCGCAGUCACCUGCUGCCCGAGUAUGGAGUUGUCGACCUUCGUCGUGUUGCUGGAUGCCCUAGAGCCGAAGUCGAUGCCGAUGUGGGGAUAGAGCGGAUCCCACGCGCCGUUGACGUAGGUGUCGAUUUCGACGGCGAAGACCGAGGGGCUGUUGCCGUUGGAGCCAAAGAUUCCGAGGUUGGCUCCGUUGGAGCCAGGGGGGAUGGUGGAACCGACGGGGGCAAUGAAGAAGGCGAGGCCGUCGGCAGGCUCGUUGUCGGCGCCCGGGGUGAUGAUGAAGUUCACAGUGGUUUCGAAGUCGACCUGCCCACCGGACUGCGAGAAUUGGACCGGGUUCGAGUGCAAGACGCGGCCGACUUGUGAGGGCUGUGCGUCUGUGAGGCGGAGGAAGGUGGAGUCCGUCGGGAAAUGGGCGCUGCCUUGAUAGAUGAGAUCUUUCGGCUGGUCGCCCCAGAAGUCGUAGGUGAAGGACGUCGUUUGGGACAACGCCGUGUUGGAAACGGCGAGGAGGAGGGCGAUGGAGGCGAGGAGAGGAGUUAAGGUUUGAACAAGCUGGUUGGCCAUGGCUUAAUUGAUUUAGAUUUAGAUUUAGAGAUGUGGUGGAUGAUGGUGGCCAGGUAUCGAUCUCUUGCACCUAUUUAUACUAGUAUGGUUCAUGCCUGUUAAUAAUUGUAUAUAUCAAUCAAUCAUCGUGCAUCUAUCCCAAAUUAUAUGUCUUAUUAUUCACUAAUUAGAUGGAAUAAAUCCUAAUUAGCAAUCUUAAAAUUACACCGCCAAUGAGGCCUUGCUCUAGUGGUAAAGCUGUGGCACCGAAUAACUUUUCUUUGUGAAAGGUCUUGGGUUCAAUCUCGCCUGCAUGCGGUGAUGUUUGUCCAUUUUAGAUGGUGUGGUAUUCUUGCCUGCGUGCGGUGUUGUAUUAUUUAGUCUUAGGCGUUCUUGCCUGUGUGCAUAUCACUGUGUGACAAUUAAAAGAAUGACUUUAAAAUAAAAGUUAAGCCUUAAAAAUUUAAUCUACAUUCAUAUAUAACUGAAAUUACAUGCAUGUCUAAUUUUUUUAAUAUCAUAACAAGAUAAGAUUUAUUAAAUAAUUCAGAUGCAUAAAUAAAAAGUUAAUCUAUAAACACAGUAUAGAUAUAUUAUCAAUGAUAGGCCGUGUAUAAGUCUUAAUCUGUAAAACUAUAUCAUCCCAGCCUUAAACGACUACCAUUCCUGCUUUCCCAGAGCAACCACACUGUUCCCACCCACAAAGCUUUAAGCAGUACAUGCAUGUCUAAAUAUUAUUUAUAAUUAUCAAUAACAAGAUUAAUGAUUCUAUAUCUCUAUGUUUAUACAUAUAUUCACGUAUGACAUAGUAUAUAUUAGCUAUUAAGUUAAAAACUAAUAAAAUACUACAGUUUUGCAUAGGAUAUAUAUUUAAUUAGUAGUAGGAUAGGACACGUGUAUUAAUUUUAAGGGCAAGUAAUCAAACUUUUGAAUGAUUCAUCAUGCUUAAAAAAAAAAAGAGACCUAGAUAGAUGAUUCAUCAGAUUCAAAAACAAGUAUAAAUAGACUUCGAGUUUGAAAUUUUAAUUAAUUUGCAACAACAAUUCAAACUGACUGUAUUAAGGUAAGUAGUUACAGAUUUCAUACACAUUAUAUGAUUUCGCGCACAUACGUAUGUAUAUAUAAAUAUUUUUUAAAAUCAUAUACUCCCUCCGUCCCCAAAAUAAGUUCCUCUUUGGGGACGGCACGGAUUUUAAGGAAAAGUGGUAAAGUGUAUUAAUAGUGGAGAAAAAUAUGUUAUAAUUAGUAUUGGAAGUUGUGAAAAGGUGAAAAAGUGUUAUAAUUAGUAUUGGGAGUGGUGAAAAAGUGAAAAGUAAGAAUAAAUAAAGUAUUAUUAGUGGUGGGGUAGUUGUCCAAAAAUGGAAAAAAAGAAAGAGGAACUUAUUUGGGGGACAUCCCAAAAUGGAAAAAGAGGAACUUAUUUCAGGGACGGAGGGAGUAUUAUAUAAUAAUUAUAUUUAAGUUUUAUAUUAUUCUUUAUAAACUAUUGUUCCAUUCUAUAUAAUUAGGUGUGGCACGACUAGGACGUAACUUUCGAUUGAAUUUCUCAAGUUAAUUUUCAAGUUCAAGUUUCAGGUGUGAGAUUUAUUUAAAUACAUGUCAUGAUUAUUCAUUGUCCAUUUUAAUAGUAUGUGUUUACCAUAUGUGUUAUGACGCAUAUUUUGAGGACAUCGCUAGGAGCCCAUAAAUAGGGUCCAGGACUUCACCGUCCUUGGAUUGCCACAAUGCGAUUUGAGGUUUAUUUUGAGGAUGUCGUCAGGGGCCCGUAAAUAGGGUCCAGGACUUUAAUAGUCAUUGGGUUGCCACAGUGCGAAUAUUGAAGAUAUAUAUGAAGUGACCGUAUGUGUUACCGUUUCAUUAACGUGGACAAUGAUUGCAUGUUUAAGAGACAAUAACCAAUUUUUCAGACAUUUGUGAACAAAAUGAAGCAUGUUUAGAGAUCCUUAAUAAAGGUGUACGAAAUGAUGGAUAAAUAAGUUUGUGAAACAAAUUUCACCAUACCUAACCCCACAAUUAUUUGCGGUCGAAUUUCCUCGUCACAGGAAAAAGAGAUGAUGACAAAAGGGCAAAAAUUAAUUAACAAAGUAGAAGAUGCAUGACAACUGUAAAAGAAAAAUAAUGCUACUAAUUAAAUAGUCCAAACUUCAUACGUUUCAUAUCAUAAGUGGCAGUUCUAUUUUUUUUUUGCGAAAGUGAACAAAAUAACGAAUAAUUUUUAAAGUAAUAGUAAUAAGGAGAUGUGUUUUGACAGAAAACGACAUGAGCGGCCUAAAAAUAAGAGGGAAAAAGAUAAUCAUAUAAAUAUGGGUUAAUUGCCUCUAAAUACACCACCUUUCCUUGAAUUCUACAAUUGCACAUCACCUUUAAAAUCCGCCCUUAAAUACACCACCUUUCCUUGAGUUCUACAAUUGCACAUCACCUUUAAAUCCGCCCCAAAAUACAUCAUCUUUAUAUUUUUUCUGUUUUUGCACAUGACUAAAAAAUUCUCAAGAAAUAAAUUAAAGUGUUAAUUUAUAAAUUUAAAUAUCUUUUUAGCAGCGAAAACAUAAUAAAAUAAAAUUCUUUAUAAAGUUUAAAAUCAUAUAUAUAUAUAUAUAUAUAUAAGUAUUUUCGUAAAGAAAUAAAUUCUCUAAUAAAUUUUUAGAAAGAACUUGAAUUAAAAAAAUAAACAAGUCAUGACAUUAAGAAAAUAAAAUGAAAUUUUUAUUUUAAUAAAUUUCACACGAAUUCGAUAUAAUUUGGAAUUUAGAGUUACAAUAAUCAGAAGUACCACAUGAAUAAUAUAAUGAGUUUGAAAGAAAUUUUUUUUAAAGAGGUUCGACACGCCCAUUCGACUUUCCACGCGCCUCCAAUGUCAUUUACCUGAAAUAUUAANUAUAUAAGUAUUUUUCGUAAAGAAAUAAAUUCUCUAAUAAAUUUUUAGAAAGAACUUGAUUAAAAAAUAAACAAGACAUGACAUUAAGAAAAUAAAAUGAAACUUUUAUUUUAAUAAAUUUCACACGAAUUCGAUAUAAUUUGGAAUUUAGAGUUACAAUAAUAAAAAGAACCACAUAAAUAAUAUAAUCAGUUUGAAAGAAAUAUAUAUAUAUUUUUUUAAAGAGGUUCGACGCGCCCAUUCGACUCUCCACGCGCUACCAAUGUCAUUACCUGAAAUACUAAAUAUGGGAUAAGCAUACAUAAUAUACUUAGUGUGGGAACAUGCAAUUAUUGUCCACGUUAAUAAAAUAGUAACACAUACGAUCAUAACAUUCAAAACGACACAAUUUUGCCAAUAUGGAAGCCACGUCAUUUAAAGUGGUAACACCCUAAUCUAACUAAAGUGUUAAAUAUAAAUUUAAAGCGGAAAUAUAAUAAAAUAAAGUUCUUUAUAAAAAUAAAUAAAGAAUUUUAUUUUAUUAUAUUUCCGCUGCUAAAAAAGAUAUUUAAAAUUUAUAAAUUAACACUUUAAUUUAUUUCUUGAGGAUUUUUAAGUCAUGUGCAAAAACAGAAAAAAAAUAUAAAGGUGAUGUAUUUUGGGGCGGAUUUAGAAUUCAAGGAAAUGUGGUGUAUUUAGGGGCGGAUUUUAAAGGUGAUGUGCAAUUGUAGAAUUCAAGGAAAGGUGGUGUAUUUAGGGGAAAUUAACCCUAUAAAUAUUCAAAAUCAAACGGAUUGGCAUGUAUUCAUCAUUUUUUAUUUUUUAUUUUGAUAAUUUAACAGUAUUAAAUAAAGAAAUUUAUAGGCUGCGUCCCUUACUGCUUGGCUUUUAGAUUAUGUUGUAAUAAUAAAAUUAAAAGCACGUUUACAAUAUAAAAUUAAUUAUGAUAAAUACAAUAUAUUAAUAAUAAAUACUCAAUUACCUCUUAACAUAAUUCGCGCAUCAUGGCUUUUAGCUUAUAUUAUAAAGAUAUAAUAUGUUGUCUAUAAUAAUCGACGGAAGGUAAUAGACAACAUGUUUUACUUCUUGUCUAUAAUAAUAUAGACAGUAGAUCUAGUGUUAUAGAUAACAAUUAAUACGUGUUGUCUAUAUGAUGAUAGACACCAAAAAUCUCUGUUGUCUAUUCUAUGACAAAAAAAUUUAAAAAAAUUCUAAUAUAUUUACAUCCCUGUAUUACAAUACCAAUAUAUAUGAAAAAAUAAAAAUAAUUAAAAAUCAAAUAAUCAAACAAUACUUAUAAACCACUAAUACUCACAAUCAAAUAUUUACACAUCAACAAUUGUAUUAUCUUUAAUUACGCCUUCAUUUAUCUACUAAAAAAAAUCUCUAAUAAAAUCUCUAACUAACUCCGGUCAUCAUCUCUUGAAGGCUUAGAAAAUGUCCAAAUACAGCGGCACAUGCUCAUUAUUGUGUGAGCGAUGAGAACUUUGCGCUGAACCUAUAAAGUAACUAUACUUAACUGGUAAAGUAAUUGUAUCCCGUGAAUCUAAAGGAAGAAUAAACACGUUGAUAGAGUUUGAAAGAAAAGAAUAAAGAGAAUGAAAAUCCAAAGAAUUUGCUUCUUCCGUUGAACAAUCCCUACACAACGUUGAAAUAUCAAUGAAAACAAUGGCUAUCCUAUACUCCCUCCAUCCAUGAAAGAACUUCCUAGGAGGGAGUGACACGGGUUUUAAGAAAAAAUAUUGUUAAGUGUAUUGAGAGUGGAUAAAAGGUAGUUGAGUGUAUUGGGAGUGGUGAAAAUGUGUUAUAGUUAAUAUUGAGAGUUGUGAAAAGUGAAAAGUAAGAGGAUUAUAAGUGGUGGGGUAUAGUCCAAAAAUAGGUAGGAAGUUCUUUUGUGGACGUCCCAAAAAGGAAAGAUAUGAAGUUCUUUCGUGGACGGAGGGAGUAUUAUUUUGCAGCAGCAACCACGUUUAAAAACUCGAUCCCUCUAUUCUUGAAUUUGUGAAAUUUCCGACUGAUUUAUUAGAUUCACCAUUUAUUUCAGUUUAAUUAGUCUAUAUAUAGAUAUUUCUUAUAUUAUUAAAUUGUUAACCUCAUGGUAGAUUUCAAGAUUUGAAAAUUCAACAAAGAGCUUGAGAAUUAUAGAGAUUGGAAGGGGAAGAUGAAACAUAGUUGGGUGAAAUUAGAAACCAAUUAAAGUCAGGAGAUUGAAGAAAAACAUAACUUAAAAACACAAAAUAAGCAAAUCGUAGAUGCAGUAUCUUGCAAGAAAAAGUUCAUAUUCCCAAGGCUAUGAUGAGCACGAAUUAGGGUGUGUCUGCAUUUUAUCCCUCUAAAUGGAGGAAUAAUAAAAUUUUAUGCCUUUAAAUGUUUGCUUUCUUAUCACACAUUCUAAACAAACACCAUUUUUUCUUCCUUAUUUUCACUUCAAUGAGGGAUAAUAUUAUCCCUCCAAUUUUGGUGUGAUAAUAUUAUCCCUCCUACAAGUGAAAAUAAGGAAGAAAAAAUGGUACUCCCUUCGUCCCAAACGAAAUGUCCUGUUUUCCUUUUUGGGCUGUCCCAAACGAAAUGUCCUGUUUCCUUUUUUGGCAAUACACUCUCUCUCUAUACUUAAUAUUUAAAUAAUUUUCACCAACCCACUUUAUCUACUUUAUACACAUUUCUUAAUCUCCGUGCCGAAAAGAAAUGGGACAUUUCGUUUGGGACGGAGGGAGUAUUUGUGUAGGAUGUGGGAUAAGAAAACAAACAUUUAAAGACAUAAAUUUUUGUUAUUCCUCCAUUUAGAGGGAUAAAAAGCAAACACACCUUAGAGUCUAAUUACAAUUUAGGCGCAGGCUGUGUGAGAAUUACUUAGUCGAAUAGGAUCCUUAGUAUUUAUAUUUCUCAUGUUCUUGUGUAUUUUUUCACUGAUUCACUAUUGGAUUAACAAGAAUUAUCUUACUUUAAAAAAAAAAAAGAAAUGAUCUUACUUCAUGUAUGGUAUGCCAACUGUUCGAUAAAGGUCCUUUUAGAAAUAUUCCAUAGAUUACCUUGCAAAGACCACAAAACUAGACACACCCUGCAUAGUUUAUACAUAGGGAUGGCCGAUUGAUGAUCGUCUUAUUUGUAGACUUAACGAGAGCAGACUCGAUCGCUUAGUCCUUACUGAUUUACGACACACAUGCACACAUACACAGAUACACACAUCACAAAAUCACGCAAAUUGACGGAUAAUGUUGCCGGCCAGCUCCUUCCUGCUCCACGCCACGGCAUUUUUCUGCACCAUGGUGGCCGUGAAAUACCACGAGACGAUGUCAUGGGUGGCGACGUGUUGUCCGGUGGCGGCGGAUAGCCCGACCUGAACCUCCUGAGCAACAAAGUAGCUCAAAUCGUACUCAUAGCUGACAUCAAACGUCUGAUUGCCGGCGGUGACUUUGACGGAGAUCAUCCUUGUGGCUCCGACGUAGUUGAUCCGCGCAGUUACCUGCUGCUUGAGUAUGGAGCUGUCGACCGGCGUCGUCUUGCUGGAUACCCUAGAGCCGAAGUCGAUGCCGAUGUGGGGAUAGAGCGGAUCCCACGCGCCGUUGACGUAGGUGUCGAUUUCAACGGCGAAGACCCCGGGGCUGUUGCCGUUGGAGCCAAAGAUUCCGAGAUUGGCUCCGUCGGAGCCAGGGGGGAUGGUGGAGUCGACGGGGGCAAUGAAGAAGGCGAGGCCGUCGGCAGGCUCGUUGUCGGCGCCGGGGGUGAUGAUGAAGUUCACGGUGGUUUCGAAGUCGACCUGCCCAUUGGACAUCCAGAAUUGGACCGGUUCCGAGUACAUGACGCGGCCGACUUGGGACGGUUGUGCGUCUGUGAGGCGGAGGAAGGUGGAGUCCGUCGGGAAAUGGGCGUUGCCUUGAUAGAUGAGAUCUUUCGGCUGGUCGCCCCAGAAGUCGAAGGUGAACGACGUCGUUUGGGACAACGCCGUGUUGGAAACGGCGAGGAGGAGGGCGAUGGAGGCGAGGAGAGGAGUUAAGUUGGCCAUGGCUUAAUAGAUUUAGAUUUAGAGAUGUGGUGGAUGAUGGUGGUAUCGAUCUGUUGCACCUAUUUAUACUAGUAUGGUUCAUGCCUGAUAAUAAUUGUAUCAAUCAAUCAUCGUGCAUCUAUCCCAAAUUAUAUGUCUUAUUAUUCACUAAUUAGAUGGAAUAAAUCCUAAUUUGCAAUCUUAAAAUUAAACCGCCAAUGAGGCCUUGCUCUAGUAGCAAAGCUGUGGCACCCAAUAACUUUUCUUUGUGAAAGGUCUUGGGUUCAAUCUCGCCUGCAUGCGGUGAUGUUUGCCCACUUUAGGUGGUGUGGUAUUCUCGCCUGCGUGCGGUGUUAUAUUGUUUAGUGUUAAGGUCCCACAUGCAGGGCGUUCUUGCAUGUGUGCGUGUCACAACCCAAAACCAUUUAUUUUCUUUACAAAUUUUAUAUGAAAAUUAUUUGAUUUUUAAGUUAUAGAGUUUUCGAUAUAUAUACAUAUAGUGUCAAUUUUAUGUUAACUUAGUCGUGUCCCUAAUUAAAAGAAUGAAUUUGAAAUAAAAGUUAAGCCUUAAAAAUUUAAUCUACAUUCAUAUAUAACUGAAAUUACAUGCAUGUCUAAAUAUUAUUUAUAAUUAUCAAUAACGGGAUUAAUGAUUCUAUAUCUCUAUGUUUAUACAUAUAUUCACGUAUGACAUAGUAUAUAUUAGCUAUUAAGUUAAAUAAAAUACUACAGUUUUGCAUAGGAUAUAUAUUUAAUUAGUAGUAGGAUAGGACACGUGUAUUAAUUUUAAGGGCAAGUAAUCAAACUUUUGAAUGAUUCAUCAUGCUUAAAAAAAAGAGACCUAGAUAGAUGAUUCAUCAGAUUCAAAAACAAGUAUAAAUAGACUUCGAGUUUGAAAUUUUAAUUAAUUUGCAACAACCAUUCAAACUGACUGUAUUAAGGUAAGUAGUUACAGAUUUCAUACACAUUAUAUGAUUUCGCGCACAUACGUAUGUAUAUAUAAAUAUUUUUUAAAAUCAUAUAUUAUAUAAUAAUUAUAUUUAAGUUUUAUAUUAUUCUUUAUAAACUAUUGUUCCAUUCUAUAUAAUUAGGUGUGGCAUGACUAGGACGUAACUUUCGAUUGAAUUUCUCAAGUUAAUCUUCAAGUUCAAGUUUCAGGUGUGGGAUUUAUUUAAAUACAUGUCGUGGUUAUUUAUUAUCCAUUUUAAUAAUAUGUGUUUACCAUAUGUGUUAUGAUGCAUAUUUUGAGGAUAUCGCUAGGGGCCCAUAAAUAGGGUCCAGGACUUCACCGUCCUUGGAUUGCCACAAUGCAAUUUGAGGUUUAUUUUGAGGAUGUCGUCAGGGAUCCGUAAAUAGGGUCCAGGACUUUAAUAGUCCUUGGGUUGCCACAGUGCGAAUAUAUUGAGGAUAUAUAUGAAGUGACCGUAUGUGUUACCGUUUCAUUAACGUGGACAAUGAUUGCUUGUUCUCACACUGAGUGUACUCUGUAUGCUCAUCCCAUAUUUAACGUGGAAGGUCGAUUGACGAAUCAAAUAUUUUGUAUUUAGCUUUACCUAAAUAUGUUAUUUUGAGUAAAGUAUUUUAAAUAAAAAUUUAUUUCAUAAUUUUCUCAUUAAAUAUUUAUUUAUAUUCAUAGCUUUUCCGCACAAAUAUUUAUUUAAAUUUUAAUUAGAUUUGGGUGUCACUGUGCGGUGAUGUUUUUCCACCGUUUCGGUGGUGGUGAGGCCCCACCUGCGUGCACGUUAUAUACUUGAUUAUAUUCAGAUACCUCUUGUAAUUUUUAAAAAAAUAAUCAUAAAAUUAAACCAAAGCAUAUAAAAUUGAAAUUGGCCAAAAAAAUAUAUAAAAAUAAAUAAAAUUAAAAAUGGGAUAUAAAGUGAGACAUUAAAUGUGGUACACUACUGAAUCUCAAUCCAACACGUGGAUGCUACAUUGUACUUGUCGGAAUAUUAGAACUUCUACAAAAUAUUGCUAUUGGAAACGUGAAAUUUUAUUAUGAGAAAACUUAUACCUGACCCCACAGUCGUGGGCACGUGUUAUGUUGCGCGGAAAUUAAAGUGGUGGGGACCGUAAAUGGUAUUUUAGUCUUUUAAUUUAUUUUAGUAUACAAAAGAGUUAAUUUUAAAGAGGCGCUAAAAAACACAUCACUUUUAAAAAUUGGUAUUUAAAAUCUUGAACCCCUUUUAUUAUUUUAGAAAGAUAUUAAUUAAUUGAUAAAUUAAUAAAUUAUUAAUUGAAACAAUUAUUUUAAGCAAAUUUAAUUAUAAUUACCUAAAAAUUUAAAAAACAUAAAUUCAAUACCAUUCAAAUUCAACAAACUAACUUAAAUUUUUACUUUAAAAAAUCUUCAUCAAUCUUGCAAUCUCGGCUUGGACUAUAAAUGUUCAACAAGAGACAAUAACCAAUUUUUCAGACAUUUGUGAACAAAAUGAAGCAUGUUUAGAGAUCCUUAAUAAAGGUGUACGAAAUGAUGGAUAAAUAAGUUUGUGAAAAUUUCACCAUACCUAACCCCACAAUUAUUUGCGAUCGAAUAUCCUCGUCACAGGAAAAAGAGAUGAUGACAAAAGGGAAAAAAAAAUUAACAAAGUAGAAGAUGCAUGACAACUGUCAAGAUAAAUAAUGUUACUAAUUAAAUAAUCCAAACUUUAUACGUUUCAUAUCAUAAGUGGCAGUUCUAUAUUUUUUGCGAAAGUGAACAAAAUAACGAAUAAUUUUUAAAGUAAUAGUAAAAGGAGAUGUGUUUUGACAGAAAACGACAUGAGCGGCCUAAAAAUAAGAGGGAAAAAGAUAAUCAUAUAAAUAUUCAAAAUCAAACGGAUUGGCAUGUAUUCAUCAUUUUUUAUUUUAAUAAUUUAACAGUAUUAAAUCAAGAAAUUUAAAGACCGCGCCCCUUACUGCUUGGCUUUAAGAUUAUGUUACAAUAAUAAAAUUAACAGCACGUUUACAAUAUAAAAUUAAUUAUGAUAAAUGCAAUAUAUUAAUAAUAAAUACUCAAUUACCUCUUAACAUAAUUCGCGCAUCAUGGCUUUUAGCUUAUGUUAUAAAGAUGGAGUAUAAAAUAAUCAUCACCUGUGCAUGAUAUUUCACAAAAUAAUUAAAUAAUAAAAUAAUCAAUCAUAAUGCCAAGACGUGACUCUUGUCGGUCAUAUCUCAUCAACUUUAUCUAUAUAGUACAAUGAUGAUUAAUUUGAGAACGACGAUUAAGACACCAACUAUUCUUGUGGGGACACAUGCAUAUAUAGAAUUAAUAUUAUAAACUCUCUCGGUCCACGAAAUAACUUACUAUUUUUUCUUUUAAGAACGUGAACAAAAAAAAUUCCCAUCGAUAUUUCGGAACUAUACCCCACUACUUUAAAAUACCUCAUUUUACCCUUUCUUUUUCACAAAAACAACAAAUUACUAAUAAUUUUUCACUAUUCCUAAUAUACUGAACAAUUUUUCUCCACUCUCAAAUUUUGUAGCACCGAAUAAAAUUAAAUACUAGUAUUAUUUUUUGUAGAACUAUAAAUAAAUAUUAUUCUCAAAACAUGUACUAUUACUUACUAUUUUUUUUAAAUGUGGGACGACCAAAAAAGGAAAGAUGAAUUCUAAAAGCUGGGACAGAGGAUAUAUUAUUUUUCUUCUUGGUUCUGAAGUAUGAAUAUUAAUUAACAAUUCUUCGUCCACAUCAAGCUCACCUUCACGUAAUUUUUUCUUGAACAACACCGAAAAAUAUAUAAUCCCAACAUAGCAUGAUCAAUCUCAAUGCACCAAACAUAAAUUAGUUUUAAAAUAAUAAUAAGAUUAACUACUAUAUUGCUGAAUUAUGCAGUAGAAUUAAAAGCGUGAUUUUUUUUUAAUAGAGCAGGUUAAUCUAGGCCUACCUGAACCAUCUGACUAUGCAUGAGUUUGAUUUUUCUUCUUGAUCUUUUUUAAUUUUACCGACAAAGAAGAUUUUCACAAAUGAAAAGAAAACGUUCUAGUAACAUACUACAUGCUUACUUCAGAUUUGCAACCAAGUCUAUUGAGGGUUUUAUUUGCUACAUAUAUAAACACAAGGAUUUGGUUUGAUACAAAUUAAGAAUAUUCAACUUUCAUCGGCUCAAGCACAUAGAAUCUCCCCGAGUAGUUAUAACUGGUCAAUGUUUUUGCCGAUAAAAAGGAAAAGGAAAGAAAAAAGAAAGAAGCAAGACGGAGAAAAAGUUGUAGUAAAUGAUUAUGCGAUGAAAAGAAAAUGGAAAAGAGAAAGAAAGAAGAAAGUUGUAGGAAUUUUGAAGAAUUUGUACUUAUUUAGAAUUGUGGUUAUUGUGGGAUCUUGUAUAAUAAUAAUAAUAAUAAUAAUAAUAAUAAUAAUAAUUAUUGGGCCGUUCCACGAAUCUUGGCACAUUUUCAAAUAAGGUAAUAAUUCAUUCUCUCUCUUACUUUAUCACUUUAAUACUUUAUUAACUACAAACUUAAAACACUAAUAUACAAUUCCUUAAUUCCCGUGUCGAAACCAAACGUGUCAAGAUUCGUUGGAUGGAGGGAGUAAUAAUAAUAAUAAUAAUAAUAGUAAUAAUAAUAAUAAUAAUAAUAAUAAUACAUCAUUGCCCUUUAAAAAGUUUUAAAAUAGGAACAUAAUAUGUAAAUCUAAUUUUGUAAAAGAAGCUCUUCUAUAGUAAUAGUUAUAGAUUUGGUGUGGAGGCAUUUGUUUGAGAAUGGGUAAAACAUACCAUUAACCCUUUGAUAUAUGCACGAGACACUUAUUUGUGGAUAGGACAAGAAUUAUUUUGUUGCAUAGGAUCCCUUCCAAAUGUAAUUACUGAUUCACAAUUGGAUUAACAAGAAUUAACUUACUUCAUAUUCAGUAUUCCAACUGUUCGAUAAAAGUUCUUAAUGAAAUCUUCCAUAGAUUACCCAAAUGCAUUGUUUUGCAUAGUCCGUACAUUGAGAUGGUCGAGUAUCUUAUGUCUAGACUUAACGAGAGCAGACUCGAUCGCUUAGUCCUUAUUUAUUUACGACACACACACAUCUCAAAAUCACACAAAUUGACGAAUAAUGUUGCCAGCCAGCUCCUUCCUGUUCCACGCGCCAGCAUUUGUCUUCACCAUGGUGGCUGUGAAAUACCAUGAGAUAAUAUCAUGUUUGGCGACGUAUGGUUGGUUUAGUCCGCUGGCGGCGGAGAGCCCUACCUGAACCUGCUCAGGAAGAAACUCGCCCAAAUUGUACACAUGGCUGACCUCAAACGUCUUCGAGCCGGCGGUGGCACUGACGGUGAUCAUCUUCGUGGCUCCGACGUAGUUGAUCCGCGCAGUCACCUGCUGUCCGACUAUGGCGUCUCCGACAUUCGUCGUGUUGCUGGAUUCCCUAGAUCCGAGGUCGAUGCCGAUGUGGGGAUAGUUCGGAUCCCACGGGCUGUUGAUGAAGGUGUCGAACUCGACGGCGAAGACCGAGGGGCUAUUGCCGUUGGAGCCGAAAAUUCCGAGGUUGGCCCCAACAGCGCCACUGGGGAUGGUGGAGCCGACGGGGGCAAUGAAGAAAGCGAGGCCGUCAGCGGUUUUGCCAUCGGGGCUGGGUGUGAUGAUGAAGUUAAUGGUGGUUUCAAAGUCGACUUGGCCACCGGAUUGGGAGAACUGGACCGGCUUCGAGUACAAGACCCGGCCGACCUGGUAUGUCUCGAAGUCGGUGAGGCGGAGGAAGGUGGAGUCCGAUGGGAAAUGGGCGUGGCCUUGGUAGGUGAGAUCGGUCGGCUGGUCGCCCCAGAAGUCGUAGGUGAAGGACGUUGUUUGGGACCACACCGUGUUGGCAGCGGCGGCAAGGAGAAGGGCGAUGGAGAUUAGGGUUUGUUGAAGGUUGGCCAUCGCUUAAUUGAUUUGGAUGUGGUGGAUGAUGGUGGUAUCUUUAUCUUGCUUCUAUUUAUAGUAGUAUAACGAGCCCUAGUUAAUUAUCUUUAAAUCAUACUAAAAUAUCAUAAAUUAAAAUUGAAGAAAAAAAAGUUAAAACCUACUCUCGCAGUCCCUCAAAUAACUUCUUAGGAGAAGAGGGGUAGGAGUUUUAAGACGAAGUUAAUGUGCAAAGUAAGGAUAAA